GAUGAACGCUAGCUACAGGCUUAACACAUGCAAGUCGAGGGGUAACGAGAGGAAAGCUUGCUUUCCUUGUCGACGACCGGCGCACGGGUGAGUAACGCGUAUCCAACCUGCCCCCAACUAAGGAAUAACCUUGCGAAAGUAAGACUAAUACCUUAUAAUUUCCUCAGAUGUCAUCUGACGAGGAAUAAAGAUUUAUCGGUUGUGGAUGGGGAUGCGUCUGAUUAGCUUGUUGGCGGGGUAACGGCCCACCAAGGCAACGAUCAGUAGGGGUUCUGAGAGGAAGGUAACCCACAGUGGAACUGAGACACGGUCCAAACUGCUACGGGAGGCAGCAGUGAGGAAUAUUGGUCAAUGGGCGAAAGCCUGAACCAGCCAAGUAGCGUGCAGGAUGACGGCCCUAUGGGUUGUAAACUGCUUUUAUACAGGAAUAAAGUUAGCCACGUGUGGUUAUUUGUAGGUACUGUAUGAAUAAGGACCGGCUAAUUCCGUGCCAGCCGCCGCAGUAA
rnacentral:rRNA from 1 species